rnacentral:rRNA from 1 species
AUUGAACGCUGGCGGCAGGCUUAACACAUGCAAGUCGAGCGGAGUGAUGGUGCUUGCACUAUCACUUAGCGGCGGACGGGUGAGUAAUGCUUAGGAAUCUGCCAUUUAGUGGGGGACAACAUUCCGAAAGGAAUGCUAAUACCGCAUACGUCCUACGGGAGAAAGCAGGGGAUCUUCGGACCUUGCGCUAAAUGAUGAGCCUAAGUCGGAUUAGCUAGUUGGUGGGGUAAAGGCCUACCAAGGCGACGAUCUGUAGCGGGUCUGAGAGGAUGAUCCGCCACACUGGGACUGAGACACGGCCCAGACUCCUACGGGAGGCAGCAGUGGGGAAUAUUGGACAAUGGGCGGAAGCCUGAUCCAGCCAUGCCGCGUGUGUGAAGAAGGCCUUUUGGUUGUAAAGCACUUUAAGCGAGGAGGAGGCUCUUCUAGUUAACACCUAGGAUGAGUGGACGUUACUCGCAGAAUAAGCACCGGCUAACUCUGUGCCAGCCGCCGCCGUAAAAC